rnacentral:lncRNA from 1 species
UUACAAUCCUUCUCUGCCACUGCGCUAACAGAGGUGACAAAGGACAUCUUAUUUCCAUAGCUGCCUUGAAAUGAGACCCAGAAACUGGUGGAGCAGUGGAGAGAGCGCUGGGCUUGGAGUCAGGAAGACGAGUUCAAAUGCUGUGGACACUAACUGUGUGAUCCUGGCAAGUCACUGCACCCUGUUCACCUCAGUUUCCUCAUCUAUAAAGUGAGCUGGAAAAGGAAAUGGCAAACCACUCCAGGAUCUUUGCCAAGAAAAUCCCAAAUGGGGUGAUGACGGAAACAACUCAGCAGCAACAUAAACUUUUAAAAAUAAGAUUGUAAAUCCUUUUGGUCAACCGUUUAUGAGUGCACAGAGCUCUAUCACAUGAAUGUAAAAAUAACAAACACACAUACAGCAAUCACACGCGUGUGAUUUACACGUGUGGAAUAUUCACUCGGCAUAUUGGGCUGUACGCGAUAACACAAAAGUCAAAAUCCAGUCAAGGGGUCUGAAUGAACUCAGAGUGAAAUAGCUGAGUUAGCCACUAGGUGGUGGUCUACUUCAGUUAAUAGCUCGGGCCUCUUUCGGUCAGUCCUUGCACGUGCACCGAGCAGAGGGGGCCUUCUUGAAUAUCUGAGCACAUGCCGGGAAACAUUCCCAACCUCAGAGUGGGGGUGACUGUUUUUGAAUUUAUGACUCAGAAGUGGCGUUUUAAUUUCUUGUUGUCUCAAAUCCCGGUCUAGAGGAUUAAAUACAACACAUCAUUGAAUAUAAUUGUUGUUGGUUCUUUUAUUUUGUUCUAUAUAUUUUUGGUUCAGUAACGCUUUGGAGUAAGUCACUAUCUCAGGCCUCUUUCCUCAGUGCUUAAAGAUUUGGACAUUCAUUAUGCAAUCAAGACAACUUUUUUGUGCAUAGAGUAGUAUGAAAAGGAAAACAGGGAAUACUCUCCUCUACUCUCAUGGAAAUAAUGAUUGUUAACUAUGUCUCCCCAUCAUGCUUGUGUACCUUAUAGAUCUUUUGUAUGGAUGAGAAAAAUUUUCAAGGUAUAUAUAGCCGUGCCUCAUUGAAGAA